CAAAAAUGCGAAUACUCUCGAUUCAACGUUUUCUCUCAUUCUCGCCAUUGCUAAAAAAUCAUCUCUCUCACACCGUGGCAAGAAAAUAACAAAAACACAUGCAUUCUUGAGGCUAGAAUCACAACAAACCAAUGCAUGCCGGUUGCUCUUGCCGCUCAGUUCUGGCAAACUCUCUUGCUCUUCUCCUCUUUCACCGUUUAUCGCUCACUUUUCCCACGCUUCUGCUCCAUUCGCGUUCUCUCUCUCGAUAUGGUCCAAACGCCCGACGGCGAAACGACACGAUUUCUCACACACGCAAUCUUCUCCUCAAGCGCGCGACCGAGUCCUUAUGCUUCUUCGUCCAUGUUGGUUCCCGUGCUCUGGUGGCGGCCACACACAGUCAAGUCAUCCCUUGCGUGUGCAUUGCUUCGUCAGUCUCGGUACGCUAGUCUAGUCGUUUGGACGUGUGUGGCGUACGCCGUUUUCUCUCUCUCGCUGGGUGCUUACGGCGGUGGUCAUUGGGCGCGGAUUCCGAGUUCUUGGUGCUAAGGCUUUUGCAUAAACAGGUUCCCCGUAAUCGAUUUGGGGCUAUUGUUCCCCCAUGUGAGUGGUGUUGAUUGAUAUUUAGACCAACGACGACGGUGUGACAACUGUGACCAAUUGAAGGGAAGGUGAAGGUGCACUGAGAGUGAAGAACUGGCGGAAUCCUUUCCAGCAGAUAUUGCAGAGAUUAACGAAGCAGAGUGAAGGGAAGAUCUGACCGGUGCGAUAAUGAUGCUCUUUCGUGCGGCGAUGUUUGCGGUCAAGGGAAGAUCGAUGUGAAAUAGUAAGGGGAAAAAACGAGCGCCUGUGUGGAAGAAGAAAGUACGGUUGCAGGGCAGCAGUGAGACGAGUUAAUUGGUAUACUGAUUUAAUCAGCUGUUGGGUUUUGGAGAGCGUGGAGUUUAACGGAUCAAGUGCAGCAGGUGGAGAAGAGGAAAGUGAAUGUUGUGUAUAAUUUCAAUUAACAAAAUUGUUUACAAGAUUGCUCAGUGAAGUUCAACAAGGCAGUCAAACAAGUGCGGAACAAAUUAAAAAAAAAACUACAAAGCAUCCGUCAGUCGGUAGUUUUGGGAACGUGAAAUUCCACGAUUGUUCAUUAAGCCAGCACAGCAAACGAAAAGCUAAACAGUUCCAACGUUUUGAUGGAGGAAAAACUUAUUGCCAGACCGAAUUAAACGAGCGUAAACGUUGUUCGAGAAAGGAAAAACUUUGCUGCACUUAUUUAUGCACAUAAAUUGUACGACUUGCCCGAAGAAUCUGUCUAUUAGUGAGUGUGGCAUCGCGGUAUGUUGUGAGAAGCUAAAUAGAAGAAGGUGAAACCUUUAGGCGCGGCGAAUAGUAAGCAAAUGCAGAAGAAAAGAAGGCAGACAACUUGAAGGCAGUGAAUUUAAUCAGCAACAAUAACAAAAUAAAAGCACCUCGUUAAAAAGGAGGCAAAUAGAAAAAGAGAUACGAAGCACGACAGUAGAUCGGAAAAGACCUCCAGAUGCAGUGAGGAGCGGUUUCAUUCGACAUUAAUAAAACAAUGAUAUUUAAACAUGACCGUAAAAUAUGCAAAUAGAGUUUCAUAAUAGAAAGAAGGAAGAAAGGAAAACACACGUCACACAACUGUCGCGACCAGUUCGCUUUGAAAGAACAACGACAACAGAAGAAACGACAGCAGAAGGAGAAAAAACCUAUUGAUUUCCCGUCCCAGUCCCUAUCGCUGCAGUGGAGUUCCAUACAUCUUGCGCCGCCACGAGACGUCGAAUGUCGUUUGAUCUUUAUCACAAAAGGAAGUCGAAGCCGGAGAAUCGUGAUUAGUGCGCGCGUGUGGCGGAACGGAAUCGAGCAUUCGUAGUUCGAUAAAAAUGAGUUAUUUCCUACCAUAGACGAUUGUCGGAAAGUGCGAUCAAUUCUGCUCGAUUGGGAGAGUUGGGAAAGUGAAUUUGUUUGAAAGUUUCGUGUCAGUGAAGUGUGAUUAAAGAAGAUUGAAUAUUUGCUGAAAAGUGAGCUGUAGCCUGGAGUAUCAUUAGCUGUAUUUCACACCCAGAGACCAGUACAUUCCUGUCUUCUUGUCAUCGGAUUGUUGAAAGAUGGAUCAUCUGUUUAUUAAAAGGUCAGUGAACAAUUGAAGCCCAAAUUUAACAGCAAUCUUUACGUUUGACUUCAGGUAAAUUAUAUGCAGUACUAAUUAUACAUUAUAAUUACACUAAUACACUAGUACCUCUUUUUAUGCAUGCUAUUUUUAUGCAUAAAAGAGAGAAAGCUACUCAGACCCAAUAUUGUGGAGAAGAAAAUUUAGUAAUAACGAUAACUAAUGCAACGGUUACAGGUACGUUUAUUGAGGUUUCCAAGGGUCUCACGUGUGUUACAUGGAGUCUGCGUGGGUGUUAAGGGGUUUUCAGAGUCAUUUUAAGAAGUCUCAUAGCAUUUUAGGUUAGUUUCAGAGGCGUUGCGGAGGCGUUUUUGGAGGGGAGGGUGGGGGUUUCCAAGGAUCUCAGGUGCGUUACAUGGGGUCCGAAGUGGUUUAAGGGUGAUAUUAGAAGCAUUGCAGGUCCAGGCAUUUCCGGAUGCUGCAGAGCAUUUACGACGGGAUUCGAAGGCGUUACGCAGAUAUUUUCGGAGGGUCUCAGAUGCGCUUCAUGAGGUCCGAGGGGGUUUUUGGAGGUUUUCGGAGGCACUUCAGAAAGUCUUAGAGGAUUUUCAGAGACCCCAUCACAAUAUCUUUCGAAACGUCCCUGAAACGCCCUUUGUUUUUGGAGUGUUCUAGAACCCCCUUGAUAUGGUCCUGACCUGAUAUGCCUCAAAACUCCCCUGAAAGCAUCAAAAUAAAUUUGAAAUACCUCUGAAACCCUUUUGGACGCCUUUAAUGGGCUUCAGAAACCCCCUGAAACGCACCUGAAAACGCCUUGAAACGCCCCUGAAAUGUUACAAAACGCCUCUGGAAUGCUACCAAACGCCCUUAACCCUCUAAUAGAUACCUGGGGUCCAUUUGGACCCCAGGCAACUUUGGAGUAAUAGCAAACAAGUUGGGUAUAACAUAUUGACUUUAUUUUUUUAAUACCUUCAAACUAGACCUAGUUCUAUAGAGAUAAUUGACAUUUCAACACACGAACACUAGCGCAAAUUUUUCCUCACACAAAAGUGCACGCCGAUUGAAAGGCUAUUCAGAUUGCAUAUGCAAAUAUUGCCGAAUCGAAUUGGGUUAAACGGGUAAAUAAUAAUAAAACUAGCGUCCGGGGUAAGAGUGCAAAUAUUUUCCUCGCAGUUUCACAACUACAUCUACAAAAAAGGCACGCAUACAUUUGAACGUGAUUACCACUAUUAUUAAAGCAAAAAUAAAGUUGAUUUCAUGGCAUACUUUUAUUUUUAUUCCAUGUCAAAGUUGAACCGGGCGAUUUUGUAUACCUGGGGUCCAUUUGGACCCCAAAUUGAAUUCUCUAUAUCUUUUGAUUCUGAUGUUUUAGAAUAUUCAAGUCUUCGGCAAAUUUGUUCGGUAAGUCAUGCGCCAUCUGGCGGUAAAUUGGUAAAUUUGAAAUUUCCUCACUAGAUGGCGCUAUUUGGCAUAAACAAUUUAGUAAUAUAAUGUCUUCAAACGAAAUUAUCGGAAGAUCUAGAGCUUGUAGAAGCGUCACGUCUUCGGGAAAGUUGUUUAGUAAGUCGCGCGCUUACAGAUAAUGGACCGAUUGAUUCGAAAUUCCACCACUAGGUGGUGCUAGUGAGCAAAUAAAUUUUGUAUCUCAUUAAUCACUGGAUCCUUAUCACUUGGAAAGAUGAUGCCUUCGAGAAAGUUUUUGUGUUUGUCAAUUAAUGUCAGAUGAUGGGCCGUUUGAUUUGAAACUCCACACAUAGGUGGCGCUAGUGAGCAUGCAAAUUUUACAUCUCAUAUCUCUCAAGAUCCUGAUCACAUAGAAAGAUGGUGUGUUCGGCAAAGUUGUUUCAUAGGUCAAGAACUUACAUAUGAUGCAAAAUUUGAUUCAGAAAUCCACACAUAUGUGACGGCACUGAGUAUGCAAAUUUUAUACUUCAAAUAUCCCAUGGUCCUAAUAACUCUCUUACCGUCUCUACUAUCUUCAGCAAAGAUGUUUGGUAAGUCAAGAAUUUACAGAUAAUGGACCGUUUUGUUCUUUCACUAGAUGACGCUAGUGAUACAAAUAUUGAAUCAUUUUUACAUCAGGAUUCAGAUUAUUUAGUAAAAUUGAAGAUUCUGCAAAUAAGUUCCAAGAACUUAUAAAUGAUGAGUCGUUUUACUCUGAAUUUUGCUCAUAGGUGGCGUCAGUGGGCAUGCAAUUUGUAUAUCUCAUAUAGCAGAAGAGCCUACAAGUGAUAAUCUCAAUGCAAAAUUUCUACGCGCACUCAGAAAAAAAAACACCACUCAGUGCACACACAGUGUGUUCACAGGGUGCUGUUCAAAUAUUUUGAUGAAUCAAACGCAUACCAGUGGAUCCCAAAAAAAGCUAAGCGACAUCACAUCUUGUGAUAUCAGAGACAAACAGACACAACAAUUACACAAUUUCUCACCCAUAUAUCUUAGGGUUUUAAUUACUUGGAGUGAUGGUUUGCUCGGCAAUACUGUUAAGCUGGUCGAGGACUAGCUGUUGAUGGGCCGUUUGAUUCGAAAUUUUACUAGUAGGUGGCGCUAAAGAGCCUUUUUUUAAUCUCAGGACGCUGGUAACUUAGAAAGAUGGUUUCCACGGCAAAACUGUUUGGUAAGUUAAGAGCUUACAGUUUGAUGAUGCAAAAUUUCAUCUCUAGGCGAUGCUAGUUACAAAUUUAGUAACAAAUAGGUUACAAAUAGGUUGCAAAUGAUUAGAAUUUCUAAAAACUUAUUCAACAAGCUGUCACUUUUUUCUCUUCAGAAAACUUUGAGUUAAGCCAAAUGGUAUACGAAGACCAAUUUAUUAGUCAUACAUUUUCAAAAUUUCAUUAAAUUUGGUUAACUUAACCCUAAGAUAUAGUAGUUUAUUGGACUGCAGUGAAAUUAGAAGAAUUUUACUAGAAACACUUCAACUUCACGUGGAGUUAAACUAUCAAGCCCAAUUUUGUACCAAUUAUAGCUAACUAGUUGGGGAUGUUGCAGUCAAAAUUUGGUGCACUUAAUUAAAAGUUAUAGUUUGUUAAAAUUUUCUGGGUAAUACUUAAAAUUUCUAUGUUUUGUAAAUUUGCUACUAGCGCCACCUAAUGACAGAAACUCGAAACAAAUAAUAAUUCACCUUGAUUUUCUUAACAGCUUUGCCGAAGAUACCAUAUUUCUAAAUAAUCAGGAUCCUGAGAUUUGUAAAAUUUAAAAUUUGCUACGCCUAGUGGUAGAAUUUCUAAUCCACUACGACUCAAGCGCUGCUCUCUCUCUUGCUCAAACAGUAUGUCACACCAUCGAGUAUAUUUGACGAUGCCAUCCGCACGGCCACAAGUUUGCCAUGUAAGUAGAACAAACAUAUACCCACACAUAAAUUGUACUCAUUGUCACUAUGUUUUGCAGCUUGAGCCACGACGCAAAAAGUAACUUGUUCAACAAAAUGGGUAAAGUUAUGGCAAUGAAUGCUGAGAUAUAUGACAUAUUUAAUGUGCAUGCUCGGUACCGCCACCUACAUGUGGAGUUCCGAAUUAUACGGUCUAUUAACUGUAAGUCGUUGAUCUACCCAACAACUUUGCCGAAAACUUCAAGUUUCUUUGAGCUCAGAAUCCUGAAAUAUAUGGCAUAUACAAUUUUCAUGCUGACCAUCUACGUAUUACGAAUUUCUAAAUUGAACGGCCCAUGAUCAGUAGGUAUUUGGCCUACGCAACAACUUUUCCGAAGACUACAUCUUUCUAAGUGAUCAGCAUCCCGCGAUAUAUGAGAUAUAUGAAAUAUGCGCGCUCAGUAACGCCACCUAUACGUGGAGUUCCAAAUCAAAUGCUACAUCACCUGUAAGUCCUUGACGAACCCAACAACUAUGCCGGAGAUAUCAUCUUUCUAGGUGCUCAAGAUCCUGAUAUAUAAAAUAUAAAAUUUGCUCGAUUAGUUGCGCAAUCUAUGUGUGAAAUUUUCAAACAAACGCGCCAUCAUUAGUAAACACUUGACCCUAUAAACUACUUUGCCAAAGACACCAAAUUUCUAUGUGGUCAGGAUCUUGAUAUAUAUGUGCUCAAAUACUGAAUACUUACAUGCUCACUAGCGCCACCUAUGUAUGAAAUUCCAAAUUAAACGGUCCAGCAGCUGUAAGUCCUUAACCAAUCCAUCAACUUUUUUGAAUACACUGAUAUUCUAAUAAAUCAGGAAACACCCCUAAAACCCCCUUAAUACUAUUGAAAUGCCACUGAAUUCCUCGUUAAAACGCCAACAAAACCUGACAGAAUGCCCUCAAUAGGCUCCUGAAAACCCCUGAAGCAACCCCCUGAAACGCACCUGAAGCCUCUUGGAACCCCCGCUGGCCUCUUUGAUUUUUCAGGAAACCCCCAUUCCAAAUGGCCAGGACCGGACCCUUUUGUCGCGAACUAGAUUCCCUCAUAAAAGCGCAGACUCAAUUCAUGCACAAAUUUCCCUUUUUUAUGCUUUUUGCCUUUCUCGUACACUAAGUGUACUGGAAAGGCUAUAUGUUCACUCCAAAAAUGACUUUUCGAUAGAAGGCCCGGAGGGUCGAGUCACAUAUACCAAUCAACUCAGCUGAACGAAUUGAGGUGAUGUCUGUGUGUAUGUAUGUGUGUGUAUGUAUGUGUGUGUAUGUAUGUGUGUGUGUAUGUGUGUAUGUGUGUGUACAAAAAAACUCACAUCACUUUUUGGCAGUAAACCUGAACCGAUUUUAAUGACCGACGGGUUAUUCGACGGGGAAUCUGGUCCCAUUGUUUCCUAUUGAAAAUGGUUUGGAUCGGUCCAGCCGUUCCGGAGUUAUGGCCAUUUAGGUGUUCCGGAUCGGUACCCCAGGAAGGGGCCAGAUAUGAAAACGUUACAAACCCAUCCAUGCGACACAUCAAACUACGGCAUUUUCGAUAACUUGAUGAACGGUAAGCAGAAAAAUGGUCUCAGACCAUAUUUGAACCGGUAGUGUCCCGGAACCGGUUCCGGGUGUCCCGCCGGAAGUGGCCAAACAUAAAAGUGCACUAAACCCAUGCAUGCGGCAUAUCAAACCGCAGCUUUUUGGAUACCCUGAUGAACAGUAAGAAAGAAUACAUUCUCAGACCAUAUUGGAACCGGUAGUAUUCCAGAACCGGUUCCAGAUGUCCCGCUGGAGGUGGUCAAGUAUAAAAGUUAACCAAACCCAUGCAUGCAGUGGCUUUUUUGACAUUCUGAUGAAAGGUAAGCAGGAAAAUAUUCUCAGACCAUAUUUGAACCGGUUGUGUUCCGGAACCGGUUCCGGGUGUCCCGCCGGAAGUGGCCAAAUAUGAAAUUGUACUAAAACCAUGCAUGCGACAUAUCAAACCGCGGCUUUUUCGAUAACCUGAUGAACAGUAUGCAAGAAAGCUUUCUCAGAACAUAUCGGAACCAGUAGUGUUCCGGAACCGGUUCCAGAUGUCCCACCAGAGGUGGUCAAGUUUAAAAGUUAACCAAACCCAUACAUGCGACAUAUCAAAUAGUGGCUUUUUUGAUAUCCUGAUGAACAGUCAGCAGGGAAAUAUUCUCAGACCAUAUGUAUUUGAACCGGUAGUGAUCCGUAACCAGUUCCGAGUGUCCCGCCGAAAAUGAUCAAACGAAAAAGUGAACCAAACCCAUUCGACAAAUCAAAUCGCGGAUUUUUAAGGUAUCUUGAUUGGCAAAAAAAAGUUUCUGGCCAUAUUUGAAACAACCGGUAGUAUUCCUCACCGAUUAAGGGUGCCCCAUCGGAAGUGAUCAAAUGUAAAGGAGAACCAACCCCAUAAAUAGCUGUUUUGGUAACCUGAUGAACGGUUAACAAGAGAAACAAUCAUAGACCACACUUUGGAAAACCAAUACUUUGCCGAAACCGGUUCCAGGUGCUCCGCCGGAAGUAGUCAAAUGUAGAACGGAACCAAACGCAUGCACACCGCGCAUUAAAUAUCGGCUUUUUCGAUGACGCGCAGAACGGUCAGCAAGAAAAGUCUCAGGCCACUUUAAGACUACCGGUAGUGUACCGGAACCACAUUCGAGUGUCUCGCCGGAACUGGCGAAAUGCACAAAUAAGUGUUUGACAGUACAUCAAAUAGCAGCUUUUUUGAAUACACGAUGAUCAAUUCGUAAGAACAUAGCCUCAGACCAUAUUUUAGACAACCGGUAGUGUCCCGAAACCAGUUCUGGGUGUCCCACUGGAAGUGGGCAAAUGUAAAAGUGAUCUAUACCCACCCAUGCAUGAGAUAAAUCAAAUCGUGUUUUUUUGAGUAACCUAAUGAACGUUAGCAAUGAAAUAGUCUCAGACUAUAUUUGGGAGACCCGGUGUGCUCCGGAACCUGUUCCGGUACCGCAUCGAAAGUAACCAAAUGUACCAUGCAACAUAUUACAUCACGGCUUUUUGAAUAACCCGAGGUACGGUUAACUAGAAAAUAGGCUCACACCACAUUACAGACUACCGGUAGGGUUGCACAACCAGCGUUUGGUGCUUCGCCGGAACUACGAAAGUAAAUAAAAUCAAUGCAAGCGAUAAAUAUGUGUAAGAGAACAAAAUCUUACAAAUUAAACCCACAUACAAACAGACGUCGCACUAUACUCACUACCUAUUGCUCUUGUUUUCAACGGUCAAUAAGAUAUAGCCCAAAUGUUCAGAAAAAAAAAAUUGUGAUCUCUGAUUGUGUAAAGAGUUAUAGAUUAGCUUGUUAGUAUCGUCUUGAUAUUGAUCAGCCUCCAGUGUUAGUGAAGGUGCUCAACAAAGUGCUCAAGCAGUCAACUGAGAAGUCUGAUAUUUUUCAGCCCUGCUUAUACGUUGAACAUAACGUCGGACUAUGUGCAAUCAAUAAGUUUUAAGUCAAUUCUAUAAAAAUAUUCGGAUUCUGAAACACUUUGACUUACGUUGUCGGAAAGAUUGUGAGAACAUGUUCGACGAGAAAGGCACUAUCACCACUAGGUGGAUUAAUUCGGGUUUUUUUUAAUUCAUACACCCCUAGCCAUAUACAAAAAAGGGGGACCGGUGUUCACAGAUAAGUUGCAUUUCAUCACAUUUUAAAUGACACAAAAUCAAAAUUCAAAUACCUCGCACUACACUUUUUCCAGUCGACUUUUGUUCUCCCGAAAGCGGCGUUUCUGUUCAUAUCGUACCACGUUCUGCCGGGUUCUUGCAGCAGCAUUACCGUCCACGCUGCGUUCUUCUCCUUCAAAAUCACUCUGCACUCAUGAUCGAACCAUUCGUUUCAUCGAUUUCGUUCCACGCAUUCUAUGGCACUCUCGGCUGCGUCCUCUUUUUCUUCUUUUAGUCCUGAGCACCCAUGUUGGAGGAGAGGGCCGAAAUUGAAUAUCGUCAACCUGGGCGAUUGCCCGUCAAUUUCUGGAAAUUUCCAUUUUCACUGUUAAGGUUAUGCCACCAUGAGCCUCUGGGUCUGCUUCUGCUGCGCUGUCCUGCUAGGUUCAAAUCUAACACUUGUUUGAAGAUUUCGUUCCCUGUCUCUAUGUAGAGUGUUGCCGAUCCCCCUCCGCUACCGGAUUCCAGUCGCUAUAGGCUUUUGAUGACAUCGACGAUGGAGCUCCACGUUGGAGAUUCAAUUGUGAGGCCACCAUGCACAAAUUAUAUACCGCAGGCAUUUAUUGAUGAAGACCUGCAUCCGUUGAGUGUUCUCCACUGAUACACACAAGGUUUCACUGGCGUACAGCAGUACAAAUUUUACAUUUUUAUUCGGAUUUUGGUGCGUCGACUAAACUGAUUGUUCCUUCAUACGUUUCUUAAGAUCCGCGAAAUCUGCAAUCUGCUUCUCGGAUCAACGUGGAUCAUCGUCUUUAAACUCAACUUCACGUCGAACCGAUUUGCUGACGUGCUUCCACAUGCUUUGAGGAAUCUCAUCCAACGAAUUUCCAUGCACGCAACCUUGGUUCAAUUCCUUUGGCCGCAGCUGACUUUUACAUACAUAGACGUUGAACGAAGACUCCCGUAAAGGAAAACGUGGAUUGUUUCCUUUCAUCGUCUGAAUCGGAUUAGUCAGGGUCAUACCGGAUUCCCGAUGGCAUGUCCGUGUCCUCGACGUGUCGCCAAAUUUGGGAUACAGUUUGGAUCGUCAGUUGGGUCGCCUUCUUGGUCCUCCUUGUCUGCGUUCUGCUUUUCCUCGAAGUACUCCUCCGAUUUAUAUUCGCUGUAAUUUUGAAUGAAACAACUUGUUGGUAUUAAAAGCAAUAAAGAUUAUCAAAAACGUUCACAAACUUAACUCAUCCAUACCUUCGACUGCUCCAAAUAAAACGAAAACAUAAAUGUUUUUUGGCUGAAGUUAUUUCGGCAACAACAACAACACGCUGAUUGAAAAAUCAUCAAACAGCAAAUAGAUGUUACCCAAAUUUGAAGUUGAGUACUGAAAUAUAUUAAAUAUGAAGUUUUUUUUCAGUAUUUUUUUAUUCCUAUAAUUAUCCGAUAUUUAAAAAUAUCUCAAACUGUGAAAAAAAGAUGUUCAACAACCAUUAUUAUCUUAACUUAUAUUCUUAGAAAAUAUAACCGUGGAUGUAACAUAACACGUUGUUGAAGAAUUUUACUGGUGUGUGUCUCGAAACUGAAUCAAGAAGCCAAGGCAAUCCAUGACGACUUUUCGCGAUGGGGGUGACAGCCAAAAGUGUAAACACAGUGUGAGUACCACUUAACAAAGUUUCGGCAAGUGUCGUUGGUGCUUAACAAAUGCCUUUGUGUUCAACUGUCACCCCGAUCAUCGGAUGUCAAAAGUACAUGGUAAACAAAAAAAAUCAGCUGAUCGCAUCUGUCUCAUGGAUUGCCUAAUUGGAGGGACAUCGCUGUCAAGCUCGGUACACUGCCGCUCUUACCAUCAUUGUUUUUUGUACCUAGCGUUUUGGUACCCACUUUCUGGUCGGUUUACCCUAACUUGAUCCUGAUUCACGGGUUGUGUGUUGCUAGUACUUAUAUCAGAAAUUACAUAUUCCAAGGAGCGGACCUGGUGUGGUGGUUAGAACACAAGACUAUCACGCCGAGGACCUGGGAUCGAAUCCCACUCCCGACAUACUCACAAAAUGUGGGUAUUUCCUUCGGAAGGGAAGUAAAGCGUGGGUCCCGAGAUGAACUAGCCUAGGGCUUCGCUUCGCUUUGUUCGAUUUUAUACGUCCGCCCAUACUCUUUUGCCUCGUCUGCCAUGUGCGUUUCACUUCCUUCUCAAGAGCGCUGACGGGCUAUGGCCGUGGCUCCUCGUGUUUUCGCUCGCUCUAUCGCGGCUUUGAUGUUCUUUCGCUCCUAAAUCUUCUUCCUGUGAUCCACUGCUUUCUCUGGGUACAUUGCUCCCCCGAUUUAUUCUCCCCGGUGACGAUGAAGGCGUUCUUGAUGGCACUCACUCCACUGCUAUUCAGCGUGGUUCUCCAGCUCCUCGACGAAGGACCUUUUCACCGCAGCGUCUUCCAGUCGGCGUAUGUUAAACCGGCACUCGUCUUCAUUUUCGGUUGAUGCAGAUGUGGUCGAUUUGAUUUUCCGUAACGCCGACACGGGAAACCCAUGCCACUUUGUGCACUGGUUGGUAGAGAAAAAGCGAUUUCCCCAAUCACUACGUCAUUGCAUUGUUGCCACAAAACUCUGCAAGGUGCUCUCAAUUUCUCCUAUACACCAGGGCGUCCGAUGCUAUGCUCAUAGUCCGAGUUGUCAGAGUCAACCUUCGCAUUGAAGUCACUCAUGAGGAUCUUGAUAUCACCAUUUGGAACCUUAUCCAAGACAGCAUUCAGUCAGCUGUAGAAGUUCCCUUCAUUUCGCAUUUCGGAAGCAUCGGCUGGCGCGUAACAUUGGAUCAUGGUAAAUUUUCGUAGCCGUGUUCUGAAUUUGGCCGCAACUAUCCUCCAAAUAAUAAGUUUCCUUUUCAUGAGCGCAGCGUGAGCGCUGAACGGGACACCAACUCCAUGGGGACGAGCAGCAUGUUCACCUCGUAGGCCAGAGUAUGGCAGGAUUUGACCCUACGUCAAUCAGUAUUCUUCAAAGUUCGACAAACAGACUUCGCUCAGUUCUAGGAUCUUAUAGGAUGGAGUCUGUAUUACGUGCCAAUUGGCAGUCGUCAUCUGAUUGACUUGGAGCAGCAUAAAAGACUCUUGACGACAAAGGCUAUUUUGAACGCAUGUUCCAAGUUUGAAGCCCAUGUUCUCCUCAACAAGGAUAAGUCUAAUUCAAUUUUUACAUUCCAGUUCAAUUGCAACGUGAGUAACUUCAUUACUUGAUGUUCCAAGCAAACCCAAUUGAAUUGUUUACAUACAGUAAGAACCCACCCAAAUGCAAAUGCAAAUUGAUAUCUAUUAUUCUGACAGAAGUUUCAUCGAAAGCAUUCUAUGGGAACCGAUUCCUCCCCCUAGUUGUUGACUUGGUCUAUCCGCAAUCGGUCUCUACUGUCUACUGCUGCUGCUACUACUCCUGCUCCUGCCCCAUGGCGAUGAUUCAAAUGUAUUCACCAACUGACAAAAUGCAGCGCCAUUAUCAUCCACUCUUGAUCUACUGCAGGCAGCCUGGCUGGCAGACAAACUGGGCUGCAGUCUUUUGACUGCCACAAUGACCCUUUAGUCAGUGAACCGACCGAACCGCAAGUAGGCGGUUUUGAAGCCUUAACUGCCGCGGCAGCCGCCGCUGCCGCCACCGCCACCACUAACCGACCGGAGUCAAUCGUUUACUUAUGUUAAUAGGUUUCCUUUUCUUGGGCGAGAUUUAGCCUGACAGAGCAUGACUCUCCAGUUCGGGCGCGAUGAUCUCUUUCCCAUUAUAUUCCACUCGGUCGUUGGCUCUAGGCCUCGGUUAGCUAGCCAGCCAGCCAGCCAGAAGAAGGCGGUUUGUUUUUACGAUUGCACGCCCGUUUGUCCCUUUGCGUUGAACUAUUACACGCUGUAGUUACACUGUUGCACACGCCGCGUCGUGGUUCUCGUCAGAAUGCGUGGAAUGGUGUAAGUUUGUUCUUGUUGACUUACCACAAUCGGGUCAUAUGUCUGCAAUUAAUGAUCAACACUGUAGCUUGAUUAUUUAUGACACUGACUGUUUCGGUGAAGUCAUUACGAACGCGUUGGGGAAGUUUUUUGUGAUCCUGUUCUUCGGGAAGUGGCCGGGCAGCUCUAGAUUGAACGAGCAGAAGGCUUCCACUGAUGGAUUCCAUUUCAGGUUCAUUUUCAAUGCUUAGAGAGCCCUGAAACCACUAAAACUCUCAGUCUCAGAGUCUCAAUCAGAAACUUAAGUCUCAGAGAGAGCCAACCGCUAAGUCUUGGUACUGCCUUACCCAGUACUUUGUCGAAGUACGAUGCCUCGCGUAUCGUAGCAACUCCUCUUAAAACUCGCGUUAUAUAUCUUCAUCUCUCUACCGCUAGCGUCUUAGAGCAGUAGAGCCCCGAUAACCGCUACGCUACGAUUUUUCGCCAAUACUUCCCGUAUUGAACCGCUUACCCUGUGUUCCGUCCUCAAUUACUUGUUUGCUGGACAUACUACCUAGUAUGUUUGUAAUGGCUGAUAUUUGUCCGCCUGGGUAACUUGAGGGUUGAUACCAGCCCUGCAUGCUUCCCUCACGUGCCAGUUGAUUUUAGGGACGUCCGCAUCCUAUGUCAGUUGCCGCCAUAGAUGAGGCCUAGUUGCACGAAGGGAUAUUCAUCGAAGUGUCACUGACUCGAUGCACGCUGUACUACCAGCCUUAGUAGCCAGGUCCUCCGUUGCCAGAUAUACCAGUGAUAGCCUUCCACACACCACCAGCAAAAAGGCUGCGGAUGAAGUCUUGAAAGCGCCUGAGAAGAUUCUAAAAAUCGCAUUGCAUUGAGGUUCUAGACCUAGAGUGUUUAGCACUGCGGUGCUACCUCUGCUCCACACUUCAGAUCCGUAAAGUAUGCUUGGGACAUACAUUGCCCUAGCUACUUUAGUCAAAGUGCCAAGAGAAGCUUCAGAGAAGCGUCCAUCCAGGACUCGACACCCGGACAUGUAUCAGGUUAGACUUCUCUGGGGCGAUCUUGAAGCCGACGGUAUCAACACAUUCCACCGCACAAUCAACCGCUUGUACUCCUGGGGGUAUGCAUUCGAAAAGUGAGUUCAUCGCAAUGAGAAACAGCGUAUCUGAGAUGAUAGACCCUUGCGGGAUGCCUUUUUUCCGGGGAGGAGGUGGCUCCUGCGUUCAAAACUUGAAAACUGCGGUGACGUAGGAAGUUAGCUACGUAGUUGAACAUACGGCCUGCCCUCGGAUAUCCCUUGAGGACAAGUCAAACUGUAUCUUCGUGCAGGUUUUCACUCGACGCUUUUUCCAACAGACGAUAAUGCUCAGAAAAAAAAACGUCUCCGCACAAUAGACGCACCAAAAUAUGUGCUUGCUAUCAGUUCGUUCAUGAUUUUCCAGCUCUAUUGACAGGCGAUGGUUAACCAUCCGCUCGAGUGUUUAAUCCUCCUUCAGCGUCUUGUCCUUUCCCUCUUUAGGGAUAUGAAUAACUAAUACUACUUUUCACCCAUCAGGUAUAGCUCCAAUGUGCCAUACCAUCAAGAGCCAACCGGUCGAAAAAUGGGAGUUUCCUAAGGACUGGAUAUCCAAUACCGUCAGGACCCGUAGCCUUUCCAGUAGUGCUAUGACUGAGGGCCCAGCUAACAAGGGAAGGUUACAAUGGUGUCCCCCGGGGAUUUCAACCGGACUAUUUUUGUUGCAUUCUACAUUUGGGAAUAUGAAUAAAUCCAAAGCCUUUCGGGUGAUGGGCCAGUGGUGUAGUCAGGAGGGGCCCUCAAAGGGGCAAAUAAGGAAAAAUAUAACAUUAUUGAAAAUGCUCAAACGCCAUCAAAAUACAAAUUUCAAAAUGUAUUGUAGUAGAAACAGGCAAAUAUGCAUGAAUACAUGAUUUCGUAUCAAAUUGAAUUUAUCACAUCCGGAUCCAGUGGCGUAGCAAGGGGGGGGCGGAGGGUGCGGUCCGCACCGGGCCCCCGAAUCUACGGGGCCUCCAAAUCAGGACAGGUCUAGUGUUAUAAACCUUCCCUGAUUUGGAGGCCCCUUGAAUUGUGGGGCCCAGUUUGAAUAAAGUUCUGCCGAUUUAUCAGGCAGUUACUUCAAAGACUUCUACAAAAAAUCCUCUAUGAUUUACUUCAGAACUUUUUUCAGGGAUUGCUUAAGAAAACUUGCUAAGCAUUGGUUUACGAAUACUUACAAUGAUUGCUUCAGGAACUCCUCCUGACAUUUCUUCAAGAAUUUCAUCAAACAAUUAUCAAGAAAUCCUUCAGGAAUUCCUUUGAGUUUUUUUUGUAAGAAUUUCUUCAAGCAGUCGUUCAGAAAUACCAUUUCGGAACCGUUCAUAAAGCCAUUCAAGGAUUAUAUCAUGAAACUCUUCAAGAAAUCCUUCAGAUGAACCUCAAAGAAUUUCUCCAAGAAUGAUUUUAGAGAUUUCUUCAAGAAGGAAUCUUGCAGUAGUUCCUCAUGGAAAAUAUAUUUGAUGAUUUUUUGAGAUUUUUGAAGCCAUUCCCGAAUGGAUCCUUGGGAGAUUUUCCAAAGAAAUUUGAAUGUAUUCCCGAAGGAACUCUUGUAGAAAUGUCUGUAGGAGUUUUUGUAGAAAUGUCUAUAAACAAUUUUUAAGAAUCGCCUAGAUGAAUUCUAAGAUGUAUUAGGAAAGAAUCAUUGGGUUGAUUUUGGAGGUAUAUUUGAUGAUGUUCUGGAAGGAUUAUUACAGUACUAUGAAGUAGUACUACAAGUACUAGGAGUACUAUGAGUAAUUACUUAAAGGAUUCCUGAAAAAAAUCUGUAAGCAAAGGGAUUUUUGGAAGAACUAAUUAUAAAAUGCCUAGAUAAUUUUUUAAGAAAUCAAUGACGGAAAGCCCAAAGAAUUCCAAAUUCAUUGGUGCAAAUAAAAAAAAAAACAAUCUUCAAAAGAAUUUCCGCAGGAGGCCUUGGGUGAAUUUCUGUAAGACCCCCUGAGGAAAUUUGUGCAGGAAUUCUUUAGGGAUGAAUGUGUCCAUCCUUGUAGGGUUAUCUGAAGAAAAACUUCGAGAAAUCCAUGAACGAAUCUUUAUACGUAACUUGAAAAACAAAAUCCUUGUUAAAAAGAUUAAUUUUUUACUGGAAUUUCUUAAAAGAUUCUUGAACGAAUUGUGAAAAAGGACUUAAAAACAUUGCCUAAGGAAUCUUUGAAUGAUUUUCUACAGAAAUUAUAUUUAUAUAUAUAUAUUUAUAAUUUAUGAGGAAAUCCCUGCAGGUAUGAUUACUAAAGAAAUGCUUGAACAAAUUCUUAAGAAAUCCUUGAAAGGACUUCCAAGAAAAAUCGUAUGGGGCAGUGCAAAAAGAACCCUUGAAGAAGUUUCUAAAAAAAUCUUGAAGGAACUCCAAAGUAUUCCUCUGAAAAAAUGCUGAAGAGAACAUGUGGGAAUCGUUUGUGGAUAUCUUUAAGAAACUCUUUAUAGAGUUCUUGGGAUUACAUAAUACUCAGAGAUGAACCAGCCCAGGGCUGAAAAUCUCUUUAAUAAAGACAAAAAAAAAAAAAUACAUAAUACUGAAGAAAAUCCUUCAAGGAGUUGAAGAAGAAGUUUCCUAAGGAAUCGCUGUUGCAACUUUCGCAGAAAAUCUUCGAGGAAUUUGUGAAGAAGUUCUUGAAGUAUUUCCCAGAUGAAUCGUAAAAGAUAUCCAAGAAAGAGUUCUUGGAGCUCCGCACUUGAGAAAAAAAUAUUGAUGAAAUCGUUAGAAACAUUUCGUUAGAAUUUUCGUGAAAGAAAUCCGGACGAAACUGGUGUAAUCGCUAAAGAAACCGUUAAAGGUAUCAAUAGAAAAAAGCUGAUAAAAACCUUGGAAGAAUUCCUAAAGGAUUCAUUGAGGAAUUCCAGUAGAAUCUCUUGGAGCAAUUCCUGUGAGAAUUUUUACAUCAUUUAUUACAAUUUUUUAAGUAUUUCUUCGGGUUUUUUUUUAUCUUUUUCAGUAAUUAAUUUGGAAACCCGUGUACAGAUUCGUUAAGGAAUAUCUUUAAACAUUAAUUUGAGAAUCCAUUCGGCUAUUGCUCUGAAAAUUUCCUUUGACGAUAUAUUUGAUUAAUUGUUAGGCAUAUCCUUUGGAAACUUCUUCAACUAAUUCUCAGAAAUGCUACAAAAAUGGCUUCUGAUUUUUAUUUCUACGAACUUCUUUAGAUUUCUAUUUCUACGAAAAUUUUGUUGGGAAUUCCGUCUGCAACUUUUCACUGACUUUUUUUUCGACAAUUCGUUUGAGAAAACCUCUGGUAAUAACUUUCGGAAUAACUUUAACACUUUUCUGGAAACUUCUAUGCCAAUCCCUACGGGAAUUGAUUGGGUAAUUCAUUUGGCAUUUUUUUGGUAAUUUAUUCGGCGAGUUUUCUGUGAGUUACCUGAAAAAAAGUUUCAAAUAUCUUUUGGCGGAUUUUUUUGGAAAAUUCUUGGGAAAUGCUUUGAUUGGAUUUGAUCCGAAAGUUCCUAUAAGAGUAUUCUUGGAAUUUACUCUGCAAAUGUUUUUGAAAACUAUUUCGGCAUAACUCUCUUGGAAUUUCUCGGCAAUAAUAUUCAAAGUUGAAUGAAGUUAUUAUUUUUGAAAAUAUCUUUGGCAGAACUUUUUGAAACUCUUUGGGUUUGGAAAUUUAUAACGGGAUUCAGCAAUUUCUCUAAAAGUUCUACCAGCAGUUCCUUUGCUCAUAUACCUGACAAUUACUAUUGUAAUUCUUUCAAUAGCACAGCGUAACAAAAAUUAACUUUUGGUCUGUCUCAAGAGCAAACUAAUGUGUCUCUGACAGAUUAUGGGCCGCGGUUAUGUUAGGUACGAUACAAACCACCCUCCAAAAAUUGCAUGCAAGUUUACAUAUUAACAUAAAAUGCUUAAAUCUUUCAAAUUUGAUUUGAUAAAACGAAAUAUUUUGCGUGAGUCGUAAAUUUAGAUGUCAAUUGACCAUUUUACCUUUUUUGCUUAAAAAAAAUAUUUCCAUGCUUAACGGCUUGCAGUCAAAAAAGUCUGAAAUAGCAUAUUUUGCCCUAUAAAUUGAGGUAUAGCUCAAAAUUGUGGCGUCCUGAAACAAAUCUGAGCCCGGAUUCGGAUUCAGCGGCCCAGACACUGUCAGAGACACAUACAGGUACUUUGAAAAUUAAUUAGUCGACUCGUUUGUAAAUUUAAGUGGCAAAUUUUAAAAGCUUCUUUGGUAAUUCCUCUGUAAAUUUCUUCUGAUAAUUCUUUAUUAAAUUCCGUCUGUUAUAACUUUAGAUGUUCUAUGAGAUACAUCUUUGCAAAUUAAAAAUAAAUCCACGAAUUUACAACGGAACGACCGAGAAAAAUCUCAAGAGAAUUACCAAAAGAAUUUCCAAAAAAAUAAGAUGAUUACUAGAAGAGAUCACAAACAAUUUCCUAAAAAUGUAUGAAGAAAUUUCUAUAGAAUUUCUAGGAGGAAUUUCUGUGAGAAUUGAAAGAAUUCUUUUUUUUUUGAGUUUCUAAAGUAUUCAUUGGAGGAAUUUAUUAAUCCUUGAAUAGGCUUAUUAGAGGAAUUUCUAAAAAAAAUCUAGCAAAAACACUCAAUGCACCCCCUGGAGGAAUUCCUAUGGAAUUUCUUGGAGGAAUUUGUGUAAGAAUCUCCGGAAAACCCUUGCAGUUGUAAUUAAAUAAAUACAUGAAGAAAUCCUUGCAUAAAAGACCCCACAAGAUUUCUUGUACAAAAUUAUUUGUAAAAUACCUGGAAAAAUCAGUUAAGGAAUGAAUGAAUGAAAUCAAUUGAAGAAACUCUAAGAGAAUACUUGAAUAAAAUCUGAAUCUUCGGGCAAAUCGCAAGAGAAUUGCUAAAGAAAUCUCUGGAAAAAAUCCUGAAGGAAUUUUGGGAGCAAUUUCUAAAGGCUGCCUUUAAGGAAAUCCUUUAGAAUUUUGAAUAACCUUAGAACAUUUCCUAAGCCCUUGGAGUUGUUUUGAUAAGAUAGGAUAUCUGUUUCUUUACUAUUUAGCCAUUUACGCUUCCAUUUUUAUCCCACUCAAAACAAUGGAAUGAAGCGUUUUUGUUCUGUUUCUUAUUUUUGUAUAUUUGUUAGAAGUGAGCACGGAUUAUAUAAAAAAUAACGUAAUAAUUCUGGAGAAAUCAAUCAUAAAUUCUGGAGAAAUAGAUUUUUUUGAAAAGUGCCCAGAAGAAUACUAGCAAAAAUUCCUGAGAAAACUCCUAGAGUUGAUGGAUAAAUUGAGUUGAUUGAUAAAUUGAAAAAAUUCGUUAGAGGAAGUCCAGAAGGAUUUUUCGAAAGAAUUCCUACAGAACUCCUACAGAACUCCUACAGAAGUCCAUCUAAAAAUUUAAUUUAAUUAAUUUAAUUUAAUUACUUCAAUUUCUUCAGUAGGAAUCCUUGGAGAUUUUGUUAAUUUAAUGGAGAAAUCCUAUGAUGAAUCUCUUAGUGAAACCUUAGACAAACUUCUUGAAGAAUCCUUGAAGAUUUUUUUUUAAAAAGGGAAUUUUUGGUGGGAUUUCUGAAGUAAUCUUAGGAAGUAAUUCUUAAGAAAUCUUUUAAAGAACACUUAGAUAAGUGAUGAAUGCUUGAGGAAAUUCCAAGUUUAAUUACACUGCUCGACGAAAUUUUACAAAAUUUGGUGUUAUGAGAUGAGAAAAAUAAUAACAGGGGUCUGGCACCCUAGAAGUGUCACAGUGAAAGAAUUUUUGAAAAAUAUUGGACCGGGCCUUCACAGUUCAAAACCAAAGUUUGU